rnacentral:rRNA from 1 species
UGGCUCAGGAUGAACGCUGGCGGCGUGCCUAAUACAUGCAAGUCGAACGAAGGUAGCAAUACCUUAGUGGCGAACGGGUGAGUAACACGUAGGUAACCUGCCUUUCAGUUUGGGAUAACCGAGGGAAACUUUGGCUAAUACCGAAUACGCGCUUCGAAGGCAUCUUCGAAGCAUAAAAGGGGCCUUUAAAGCCUCGCUGAUUGAUGGACCUGCGGCGCAUUAGUUAGUUGGUGAGAUAACAGCCCACCAAGACGAGGAUGCGUAGCCGACCUGAGAGGGUGAACGGCCACACUGGAACUGAGACACGGUCCAGACUCCUACGGGAGGCAGCAGUAGGGAGUUUUCGGCAAUGGGGGAAACCCUGACCGAGCAACGCCGCGUGAGUGAUGAAGGUCUUCGGAUCGUAAAGCUCUGUUAUAGAGGAAGAACGGCAACUAGAGGAAAUGCUAGUUGUUUGACGGUACUUUAUGAGAAAGCCACGGCUAACUACGUG